AUGUCGUAACAAGGUUUCCGUAGGUGAACCUGCGGAAGGAUCAUUAACACGUAUCCAAACGUUAAAACCCCCCCCCGUGAACCUUCAUCCUGCUCUUGUAACCCGCGUAGUUCGGCAAUGUUUCUCCAAGCAGUCAGUGUCGGAAAGUGUCAUUGAUUGUGCAGAAUAGCGCUUCUACGAUUCCUGUAGACCGUACACUCGGGCAGGAGCUUUUCCAAAGGGUCCCCAUACCCCCUAAUAACCCCACAGUUUAAUGUGAAGCUCAAUGUAAUACAUUGGGUAAAAAAACCGAACAACUGUUAACAAUGGAUAUCUUGGUUCUC
rnacentral:misc_RNA from 1 species